AUAAACCAUAGCAGCUAAAGACACUGAGCCAUGUCCGAAGUUGAGCUUUCCCGUUCAGAAAAGAAAAAGCACAAGAAAAAGAACAACACCCAAGCUAUGGACGAACCAGAUACAAAGCCAAAGGGCUCGGAUGCUGCCGCUGGAGACUUCAUGAUCAAGCCCCAAAGCUUUACUCCGGCAAUUGACACUUCCCAAUGGCCAAUUCUCUUGAAGAACUACGACCGCCUCAAUGUUCGUACUGGUCACUACACGCCUCUCCCUUCUGGUUACUCUCCUCUCAAGCGUCCUCUUGCCGAGUACAUCCGCUAUGGUGUUAUGAAUCUUGAUAAGCCUGCGAACCCAUCUUCGCACGAAGUGGUUGCUUGGAUCAAACGGAUUUUGAGGGUCGAGAAAACAGGGCAUAGUGGCAC
rnacentral:misc_RNA from 1 species